rnacentral:ncRNA from 1 species
CCGACCCGUCUUGAAACACGGACCAAGGAGUCUGACAUGCGUGCGAGUCGACGGGUUUUGAAACCUGGGAUGCGCAAGGAAGCUGACGAGCGGGAGGCCCUCACGGGCCGCACCGCUGGCCGACCCUGAUCUUCUGUGAGGGGUUCGAGUUGGAGCACGCCUGUCGGGACCCGAAAGAUGGUGAACUAUGCCUGAGCGGGGCGAAGCCAGAGGAAACUCUGGUGGAGGCUCGAAGCGAUACUGACGUGCAAAUCGUUCGUCUGACUUGGGUACAGGGGCGAAAGACUAAUCGA